UAUUGGUGUGAGAGAGGGAGCGUACGGGUGACCUGUGCCGAUGAGUAUGUGAGCAAACGAGUCAGCGAACGAACGAGUUCCAAUGUGAAUAGCCGAAAUGACAACAACUACUACAACAAGAAAGCCGGCGACGUCACUGAAGCAAUAACAACAGCAGCAGCAGCAGCUGAGUACUCGCGUCUGCAGUGUAUACAUACAUACAUAUAUCAAAAUAACAAAACGAAGAAGAAGAAUAGCAGCAGGCAGUAGACAUUUUGUUGAGUGUAGAGUGCGCGCGUACAUAUAGAAAAGGAAAAAAUAGCAGCUUGCUGUGAUGGAGCCUCUGGCACGAGACUAUUUGAAACGGCAAUACUCGAAGCGACAGACAGCAGUUGUUGGUUGAAUCGUAGCUGUAGCGACACACAAACACACCGCUAUACGAAUUCACAUACCCAACUAUGGGCCACAAUGUGGAGCCAACGCCAGCAAAACGGCAACACUUUGCUGGGUAAAAUUGUGUGCAUUAUUGUUGUUGCUGUUUUUGUUGUAGCUUUUGUUGGCUGGUAUUGGCACAUCAGCCUUUUGCGAAAACUCACCAAAAGCAGGCACACGAGCAGGCGUGUAUACAGGCGGGCGAGUGGGCCGCUAGCACAUGGAGCUCCAAAAACGGAAAGCAAAAAAAAAACACAACAGAAGCAGCAAAGGUAACUGUGAGUGAAUGCUGAUGAGUGUACAUACAUACUUAUGAGCGACUGGAGAGCGACAGCGUUUGCACAAUGCAUUGCAUUAUUAGAAUGCCUUGGUACGGAGCAAGUGAGAGCGCACAUGAAAGCAAAUGGUGUGGAUUUUUGGAGCCUGGAAAUGCUAGGUUGGCGCGCUGGUCGGCGGGUUUUGCGUCGUAUUUUGGAGUACAAACAACAGACAGCGUCUGGCUGUAAAAUGAGAGAAUGAGCAAAUUUGAAGCUGAACCGAUAUGUGAUUCAUAUGAACCUGGAAAUCGGAGAAAGCAUUUAUUCAAUCUUAAAUCCAAAAACCAUACAUACACAUGCACAUAUGUACAUUGGCGAUCAAAACUGAGUGCAUGGCAAGGCAUAU